GCAGCAGCCGCGGUAAUACGAAGGGGGCUAGCGUUGCUCGGAAUUACUGGGCGUAAAGGGAGCGUAGGCGGACAUUUAAGUCAGGGGUGAAAUCCCGGAGCUCAACUCUGGAACUGCCUUUGAUACUGGGUGUCUUGAGUGUGAUAGAGGUAUGUGGAACUCCGAGUGUAGAGGUGAAAUUCGUAGAUAUUCGGAAGAACACCAGUGGCGAAGGCGACAUACUGGAUCAUUACUGACGCUGGGGCUCGAAAGCGUGGGGAGCAAACAGGAUUAGAUACCCCCGUAGUCCCUGUCUCUUAUAC
rnacentral:rRNA from 1 species